UACGUAGGGUGCGAGCGUUGUCCGGAAUUAUUGGGCGUAAAGAGCUCGUAGGCGGUCUGUCGCGUCUGCUGUGAAAACUCAGGGCUUAACCCUGAGCUUGCAGUGGGUACGGGCAGACUAGAGUGCGGUAGGGGAGACUGGAAUUCCCGGUGUAGCGGUGAAAUGCGCAGAUAUCGGGAGGAACACCAGUAGCGAAGGCGACACUCUGGGCCGGUACUGACGCUGAGGAGCGAAAGCGUGGGGAGCGAACAGG
rnacentral:rRNA from 1 species